GACGAACGCUGGCGGCGUGCUUAACACAUGCAAGUCGAACGGAAAGGCCCUGCUUUUGUGGGGUGCUCGAGUGGCGAACGGGUGAGUAACACGUGAGUAACCUGCCCUUGACUUUGGGAUAACUUCAGGAAACUGGGGCUAAUACCGGAUAGGAUCUCCUGCUGCAUGGUGGUGGUUGGAAAGUUUCGGCGGUUGUGGAUGUACUCGCGGGUUAUCAGCUUGUUGGUGAGGUAGUGGCUUACCAAGGCUUUGACGGGUAGCCGGCCUGAGAGGGUGACCGGCCACAUGGGGACUGAGAUACGGCCCAGACGCCUACGGGAGGCAGCAGUGGGGAAUAUUGCACAAUGGGCGGAAGCCUGAUGCAGCAACGCCGCGUGCGGGAUGACGGCCUUCGGGUCGUAAACCGCUUUCGCCUGUGACGAAGCGUGAGUGACGGUAAUGGGUAAAGAAGCACCGGCUAACUACGUG
rnacentral:rRNA from 1 species